UUUCAGUGCAAAUUAAAUACAAUAUGAUCCUUUAAUUAAAGAGCGCAAUUUACACUGAGCAGAUCACAGUUAGUUAUAACACAGUGGAGGGGAGGAAUCUGCUACAGGUGAACUAGAGAAGGAGAUGGUAGGCGCUGAAGAAGGCGUGUCCUGAUGUCUUUAGGAUGCCUCCUUAGAGGGACUCGAUGCUUUGUUACUCCAGCAGAGGAUUGUCAAGGUGCACAGUAUUUUUCAGAGGAUGCAUGAUGGAUGAUAUUGCAACAGAUUGACCAUGGAUGCAGAUACAAGAAUUCAGCUGUCUUCUGUUAAGCCAGACAUUAAAGAAAUUUUCAAACACGUCAACAACAUCACUCUUUUCUAUUUAUUUUGUCUCAGAAAAUAGUUAUUUUUCAUUUAAAGUGUGUGAUUUAUGUUAACAUAUAAUGAGUUUCUUAAUCAUUUUAAAAUGAAUUAAUAAAUACAUUUUUCUCAGCUU
rnacentral:lncRNA from 10 species